AGCCACCCUCUCCCCACACAGCCCCUUGGCCUGCUGAAGAAGGAAGGAAAGUUGAUCCUUGCAUAGUUACUGCCCUCAGAACAGGUGACACCGGCUCCAACCAGCCAGCCAAACUGGACGCAGUUCCUGGACAUGAGCCCUCAUACGCUAUGCUUCUCACCAGAACCCUGGGCCCCUCCUGGGAAGAAUAAUGGCUCACUCCCCAGCCUCACCCACAACUUGGGCCCCCCGACCUCACCCACAGCAGGUUCCUGUCUCCCCCUUCCGGGAGCAUCAGAGGCAGAAGUGAUGGAGACGUGGCCUGAGCUGGGAUCAGCAGCCCCUGACCAUGUUCAGGAAUGUUCCCAAACGGCGCUGACCUCUCACCCCGACCCGCCUCGGCCAGGGACCGCCUCCGCCAUCCUCACUUCAAGGACAGCAGCCGCCUCUGGAGCAACUGGGGCAUCCCCAUGGCAACCGUGCCAGGCUUGCUUGGGGACGGGCUGGGAUUCCUUUAAAGU